rnacentral:misc_RNA from 1 species
AUCAAGUUGCAUUCAGAAUUGAAUUAUUGAAUAAUUUCAUUGCAGCCGGCAACCAAAUUUAGUUGUAAGCAAAAAUAUUGCAUUUCUGCUUGUGAAUUCUUCUAUAUUUUCGCGCAUAUCUCGAUAAUUUAAUUCCAGCGUAUAACAGCGAACGAUCGGCUAAAAAAGAAGGUAGGUAUUGGCCUAGAUUUUGUAUAAGAAACAAUUAGAUUUUAGGUAAUUUGAUCUGAUCUGCACCUUAGCGCCAUGAGUACAACUAAAUGUUCGCAAUUGAAUCGGACUGUGCAUAAUCGAAUGUGCUUUAAAGCAAUAAAAGAUAACUCGAUUUUCCAAACCAACUUUUGACGGCAGUUUGCUUUUGACUAGCGUCAAAGAUGCUUCUCUUUGUUCAUCUUUUUUUAAUUGUCUAAGUCAGAGUUAAGAAGAUCCAAUAGCUCUGCUCAGCUUUCAAUUUGCGAUAAAAUUUCCCUCAGAAAUUCUUAAGAAAAGCCCAGAAUUUUUACUAUAAGAAAGGAGCGAUAUUCUAAAUAUGAAUUUUACAGAUGGAUUACGCAAACUACCUAUCCAGCAGCAAUCCUACAGCAAAUGCAGCUGUAGCAUGCUCUUUCAGCCAAUGCUCUUUGGAUGUUUCUUCUUCUCAAACUCCCCAGCUAACAGCACCAUCAGCUUAUUCGGACCUUCAACCCACUCAUUGUCAAAUGCCACCACCGACAGCCUAUCGUUACAAUCCAAUGCAUGGAUUCCCUGCUCCGCCACCCACCGAUACAUGCACAAUGAUGGCUAGAAGAGAAGGUUCAAGCGUUGGAGCCGCUCAAUUAGGUCACCAUAUGGGGCACCAAGCAAUGUUCGGUUCCCAUCAUGCCGCAGGUAUUUCCCAGUACAAAAUGUACGCCACUGCAACCGCCGCUGCUGCUGCAGCUCACGUAGCUCAUGCCGGUCAUAGCGGAAGUGGUUCGUCUGAGAAACGGAAGCAAAGACGAAUCCGAACAACAUUUACAUCGGCUCAAUUAAAAGAACUUGAGCGAGCCUUUGCGGAGACACAUUACCCAGAUAUCUAUACGAGAGAGGAGAUAGCAAUGAAAAUUGACUUAACCGAAGCCCGUGUUCAAGUCUGGUUUCAAAAUCGAAGGGCUAAAUUUCGUAAAAUGGAGAGGAUCAAGCAACAAAGCCAAUCGGUAACGAGCGGUAACAGUAAUAAAGAACAACAGCAGUCGCCUUCUAAGGAUGUUAAGAAAGAAUCGAUAAAUGGAACAACAAAGUCACAAAAUUCAGAACAAUCUAAAUGGUCAUUACCAUCAGAUUCUAAAUUGACUUCCAAUCAAUCUAACGUCCAGGGACCUUAUUCGUCUUUGCUCUCUUCCACGCCAUCUACUGACAGUUCUCAAUACGAUUAAGUCAAUCAAUACCUGUAACUUUAUAAUAUAUAAAGCAUAUGUAUAAUAUCUAUUUUUGUUUAAGUUGUGAAAAGAAAAAAUGUUUAUUUGUAUGUAUAUUUAAAUGUUUAAAUAACUAACGUCUAU